rnacentral:lncRNA from 1 species
AUGAACUCUUCAGGAGAGGCCACUUGGAGAACAGAUGCAUCCCAGCCUGCAGGCCCGCCGCCCGUGACUGAGGCCAUCUGGGCCGCCACCUCCAGACUUAGGAGUGACACCAGAAAACAAGACAAAACAAACAAGCAAGCAAGCAAUAAAACCAU